rnacentral:rRNA from 1 species
UACGUGAAACCGUUGAAAGGGAAGCGAAUGGAGUUAGCAAUUCGCCCUGCCAGAUUCAGUUGCUCGUGCCUCGCGACGUGCGCGCUCUCGAUCCGCAUGGACGAGACGUGCGCGGGCGCGGCGUGCGGUCGGCGCACUUCUGGCGAGCGAGCGUCAGCGUCGGUUGCCGGCGGGCGACAAGGACACGAGGAAGGUGGACCGGCCUUUACGGUCGGUUGUUAAGCCUCGUGCUCGCAUAGCCCGACGGCGACCGUGGCCCUGCGACGCGUGCCUGGCUGGUGACUCGUACGAUCGGUCUGGCAUAACGACCGUGGCGGACGGCACGCCUGUGCGCUCGAACCGCUGCCGGUCGAUCGAACGAUGUUCGCACACUACGCGUCGAGGAUGCUGACGGCCAUACGGCUCCAUCCGACCCGUCUUGAAACACGGACCAAGGAGUCUAA